rnacentral:rRNA from 1 species
GACGAACGCUGGCGGCGUGCUUAACACAUGCAAGUCGAACGGAAAGGCCCUGCUUUUGUGGGGUGCUCGAGUGGCGAACGGGUGAGUAACACGUGAGUAACCUGCCCUUGACUUUGGGAUAACUUCAGGAAACUGGGGCUAAUACCGGAUAGGAGCUCCUGCUGCAUGGUGGGGGUUGGAAAGUUUCGGCGGUUGGGGAUGGACUCGCGGCUUAUCAGCUUGUUGGUGGGGUAGUGGCUUACCAAGGCUUUGACGGGUAGCCGGCCUGAGAGGGUGACCGGCCAAAUUGGGACUGAGAUACGGCACAGACUCCUACGGGAGGCAGCAGUGGGGAAGAUUGCACAAUGGGCGGAAGCCUGAUGCAGCAACGCCGCGUGCGGGAUGACGGCCUUGGGGUUGUAAACCGCUUUCGCCUGUGACGAAGCGUGAGUGACGGUAAUGGGUAAAGAAGCACCGGCUAACUACGUG